rnacentral:rRNA from 1 species
UACGUAGGGUGCGAGCGUUAAUCGGAAUUACUGGGCGUAAAGCGCGUGUAGGCUGCUCUGCAAGUCGGGUGUGAAAGCCCCGGGCUCAACCUGGGAAGUGCACUCGAAACUGCAGAGCUUGAGUCCUGGAGAGGAAGGCGGAAUUCUCGGUGUAGAGGUGAAAUUCGUAGAUAUCGAGAGGAACACCGGUGGCGAAGGCGGCUAUCUGGACCGACAUUGACGCUGAGGCGCGAAAGCGUGGGGAGCAAACAGG